rnacentral:misc_RNA from 1 species
CACAUAUAUAUCCGCAUGCUCGCGGCUAGCUUAGAGGCAUUUGAAUCCGGUGGGCACGGUCUUGCCGCAGUGGUUGAGGAUGAGGCUGAGGUCGACGGGCAGGUUGAGCUUGAUUCCGAGGACCUCUCCCUUGAUGGCGGUGCAGAGGCACACGGCGGCCUCGAGGUCGACGAGUCCCUUCAGCAGCGGGCAGCAUGGCUCCGUGGGCGGCACGCCCACCUUGGCCUUGAUCAGCCCCAGAACAUUAGCGCACACGCCCAGCUUGAGCGCGUCGCGGGGGCACUUGCCGAACGAGGCCGGCGUUGGGGUCGGGGUGGACGGGGUCGGCGUGGGGCAGUUGCCACCGCACGCGCUGGCCAUGGCGAACAUCACUAGGCUAACGGCCAGGAACAGCGUCAUCGAUGCGUUGCCUGCCAUUAUUGCUGCACAGCAGUGUCCUCCUUGACCACAAGGCACAAAGCAGACUGAGCUUCGUGAGGAGCUCUGCUUGCGAUGCCUCGAUCGCUA